CAUACAUAGUGUGUGGGGUCUGGGUGUUUUCCCCCAGGGUUAUUUUGAGUGUCAAAGACUUCAUUUCCUGCAUUCUGAUACAUUUUUAUGAACCAAUUUAUGGUGGUAAU